UACGGGGGGAGCAAGCGUUGUCCGGAAUUAUUGGGCGUAAAGAGCUCGUAGGCGGUUUGUCGCGUCGGCCGUGAAAACUUGGGGCUUAACUCCAAGCUUGCGGUCGAUACGGGCAGACUUGAGUUCGGCAGGGGAGACUGGAAUUCCUGGUGUAGCGGUGAAAUGCGCAGAUAUCAGGAGGAACACCGGUGGCGAAGGCGGGUCUCUGGGCCGACACUGACGCUGAGGAGCGAAAGCGUGGGGAGCGAACAGG
rnacentral:rRNA from 1 species